UGCCAGUGCAUGGCUGUCAUUAAUGGCCACA
rnacentral:piRNA from 1 species